UAGGAUACCGUGGACGCUCCCGGUUCUGGAAUUAACAGUAGCCUACUAGAACAGUGAAUCUAUUGAGUGAGCUUUGCCAGAAUCGCUGACUGAAACGAUAGGAAUUCAUGCUAAUAUGGAGCAAAGAUCUGGAUGGGUUUCUUGCCAAUCUCCUGCUCUACUUUUCGUGCUACUUUGAAAAAAACCUGUGGAGGGAAGACCGAAGUCUCUCAUGGGAGAGGACACUGAGAGGCAGAUGCAUGGAGGAACAUGUGCUAAGGUGGAGCUGGCACAAAAGCAGUUUGCCCUCUGGCACUUCAGGCUACUGCUGGGGAUAAAUAUGCCUCAAAAUCACCAUAUGGCUUUUGACAGGAUUAAGGUAUCAUCCACUUGCUGUAACAGACAACUCUACGAGG